AUUGAACGCUGGCGGCAUGCUUUACACAUGCAAGUCGAACGGCAGCGCGGGCUUCGGCCUGGCGGCGAGUGGCGAACGGGUGAGUAAUACAUCGGAACGUGCCCAGUAGUGGGGGAUAGCUCGGCGAAAGCCGGAUUAAUACCGCAUACGACCUGAGGGUGAAAGCGGGGGAUCUUCGGACCUCGCGCUAUUGGAGCGGCCGAUGGCAGAUUAGCUAGUUGGUGGGGUAAAGGCCUACCAAGGCGACGAUCUGUAGCUGGUCUGAGAGGACGACCAGCCACUCUGGGACUGAGACGCGGCACAGACUCCUACGGGAGGCAGGAGUGGGGAAUUGUGGACAAUGCGCGAAAGUGUGAUCGAGCAAUGCCGUGUGUGAUGAAGGCCUUCGGGUUGUAAAGCACUUUUGGCGGGAACGAAAAGGACUGUGCCAAUACCACGGUUCGAUGACGGUACCCGCAGAAUAAGCACCGGCUAACUACGUG
rnacentral:rRNA from 1 species